rnacentral:rRNA from 1 species
UACGGAGGAUGCAAGCGUUAUCCGGAAUGAUUGGGCGUAAAGCGUCCGCAGGUGGCUAUGUAAGUCUGCUGUUAAAGAGUGAGGCUCAACCUCAUAAGAGCAGUGGAAACUACAUAGCUAGAGUGCGUUCGGGGCAGAGGGAAUUCCUGGUGUAGCGGUGAAAUGCGUAGAGAUCGGGAAGAACAUCGGUGGCGAAAGCGCUCUACUGGACCGCAACUGACACUCAGGGACGAAAGCUAGGGGAGCGAAUGGG